UGGUAUCAUGACCACACCUGGUUCUCUCCUGCAGCCUGGGAGGAAAAGCAUCAUGGAAAAGCAGCCCGAGGGGUUCCCAGAGGCCGCCGUGUGUCACUGUUAGCGUUCCUUUCGUAGGGUUCAGACUGAGCCUCCCGCCCGCCGGAGUCAUCUUGUGUUUUUCCCUUGAGUAGACUGGGAUUAUUGGAUUUCUGGAGGAAGACCACAUAGGCAAAGUGACAUACUCACCACACCUUUUCAAGGAUUCGUAUCAUUGACAUAACUUGUCACUCUUGAUGUCGACCUUGAUCUCCUGGAUGAGGUCUUCUCAACUGACAGAGCAAGUCCUGCUGUUUGCAUAUUCUAACAGUGUAUAUAUACAUUUGUGUUGCUGUAACAAAAUACUGAAUGUUGGGUAGUAUAUAAAGAAAAGAGGUUUAUUUGGCUCAUGACUCUUGUACCUGGAAUGUGAGGGCCCCUGACUUCACCACAACAUGGCAAGAAGCAGCAGGGGAAGUGACGGCAUGCAGAAGGGAACAAGGGUCGGGGAUGGCCGCAGUUCCUAACAGCCUGCAGUUGGAAGAACUACCCCAUCCUACACAACUACAAGAGUUCCUCGUAGGAGGGCAUCCCCAUGAGCUCACCACGUCCUCUAGACCCCAGCUCUUAAAGAUCCACCUUUCUCAGUACCAUUACAUCGGGGACAAGUUUGGGGCCUGCUGGGCAAAACAUUAAAGCCACAUGGGGCCUGUAGUGACACCUAGGACGU